AUCGUGUUGCCCCCAUACAUGUAUUGGGGGUGAAGCUUGGCCUCCCGUGAGCCCAAACUCGCGGAUGGCUUAAAAACGAGCCUCGAGACGGCUAGACGUCGCGAUAAGUGGUGGUUGCAAGGCCUUGUGCCUUUGAGCGUUGCGCGUCGCUGCCGUCGUCCCUCUCUCUCGAAAUUAUAACCCGAACGGAGCAUCCUUGAUGUUUCCAGCAUUGCGACCCCAGGUCAGGCGGGAGUACCCGCUGAGUUUAAGCAUAUCAAUAA
rnacentral:misc_RNA from 1 species